GAGGAGAGAAAAAAAAAUUAAAAAGGCAAAAUACUGAACUGUAUAGGUAUUUUCAAAACCCCAAGAUUGCCUUGAUCAUUAAUUUAUCGCUUUGAGAUUACAGAUAGCAAAGUUGUCCAAAUGGAGAAGAAACUGUUGCAUACACAAAUUCAAGUAGGUCUUAUUAUAAGACAUAAACCCCUGAACAAUGCAUCUGUAGAAAGGUGUUUUAAACUAUUACAGUGUCCCAUUAUCAGCAUAAUGACACCAACAGAGCCAUUUCCAAAGUACUGUUGCAGAAGUGCUGGCAACCGGGCAUGGACAAUCACAAUCCCUCACGUCUAAGGUGAUAGAUGUUCAAUGUCAUGACUUUGACCCUUUUUGGUGAAAUGGCUACAGUGUUGUGAGAUGUCAUCACCAGUCCAUUACCUGUUUAAGAAUGAGCUUCAACUUAAAUCUUAAAAAAUAAAAACUUACACAAAAAAAUUAAAACUUAAUGCUCGCUUUCACUGGGCAUGAACGCUCCAGAUCACCUAAACAAACUUUCCAUCUCACCUCAUACGCUGAACUUUUAAAAACAAAAACAAGGAAAACAUCCGGUGUUUCACCUGAACUGAACAGCACCUGCAUGGAAAUUACCAUAUAGAAAAUAAAAGCUUAUAAACAGCCAUACA